rnacentral:rRNA from 1 species
UACGUAGGGGGCUAGCGUUGUCCGGAUUUAUUGGGCGUAAAGAGCGUGUAGGCGGCUAUGCAGGUCCGCUGUGAAAACUCGAGGCUCAACCUCGAGACGUCGGUGGAAACCGCAUGGCUAGAGUCCGGAAGAGGAGAGUGGAAUUCCCGGUGUAGCGGUGAAAUGCGUAGAGAUCCGGAAGAACACCGGUGGCGAAGGCGGUUAGCUGGGCGAGUUGCUGACACUGAGGCGCGACAGCGUGGGGAGCAAACAGG